UAAGAAGGGAUCUAGCGUAGUUAGGAAUCACUGGGCGUAAAGCGCACGUAAGCGGAUGUGUCAGUCAGGGGUGAAAUCCCGGGGCUCAACCUCGGAACUGCCUCUGAUACAGCACGUCUCGAGUCCGGAAGAGGUGGGUGGAAUUCCUAGUGUAGAGGUGAAAUUCGUAGAUAUUAGGAAGAACACCGGUGGCGAAGGCGGCCCACUGGUCCGGUACUGACGCUGAGGUGCGAAAGCGUGGGGAGCUAACAGG
rnacentral:rRNA from 1 species